rnacentral:rRNA from 1 species
UACGUAGGGCGCAAGCGUUAUCCGGAAUUAUUGGGCGUAAAGAGCUCGUAGGCGGCUCAGUAAGUCGGGUGUGAAACCUCCAGGCUCAACCUGGAGACGCCACCUGAUACUGCUGUGGCUGGAGUCCGGUAGGGGAGCGGUGGAAUUCCGGGUGUAGCGGUGGAAUGCGUAGAGAUCCGGAAGAACACCGGUGGCGAAGGCGGCCUGCUGGCAGUA